UUCCGUGGCACUGGUUUGGAUAUGGCCUCCUAGCAUUCCAAAUUAUAUAUGCUCUCCAGAUGUUUUGUGGCGUUGAACAAUGUUGGUCGCCGGUAGAGAUUUUGUAAGCGAUAACCAAUCCAGUGGGUAAUGCUUGCUUAGUUGUAUGAAUGACUUGGUCACCUAAAUUUAUUUGCGUUUAUGUAGUACUGAUUAAUGUGGUCACUUGUUAUCUGUUCGCGUCGGCUGAAUGUGAGCUUCAAUUAUCACUGUUUAGAAUUAUUUCCCUUUACUGCUCUUUAUUUCCAUUUGUGUCAAGCAAAUAGAUAUUCGAUAUGACCAUCUGUCCAUCUAUGCUGAACAUUGAUGACAGCCUGUUUUGUAGUAGCAACAGAAUUUUGCGGAUGAUUGGUCUCAUUCUAUGCUGCAUAUACAGUGUGUAAAGAGAUGCUAGUGUCAUUUAUGGAACCAAUAUGGAGCUUUUCUAUAUAUUAAACAGUAUGCAUCUUACCUGAUAUAGUGAGCAUGAUUAUUUCUUUAUUUUUUUCAGGGGAGAGAGCAAAAUGAUUCUGCCCGUAGCUAAAACUAUGCACUCUUUAAGUUUGCUGUUUGUCACUAGCUACUAGUGUGUUUCUAAUUAAUUUCCUGUUUUUGAACCUUUUUUUUUGCGUGGAUUGAACUUCUGAUUGACCAGUUUUUCCUACUUGAAUCCUAACCAUACUGUUGAACUGCUAGGUUGUUGUCAAACCAAUUCUGUUUUUGAAGGUUCUUUAGAUUUUGUCUGAAGAAAAUAAUUUAGUCAAACAUAGUCAAUUCUGGGUUCCUCGGACAGUAAAAUCCCUACUAGUCUUCACUCUCCAGUAGCAUAUAGCGUCAGCAGUAAACUAUUGCGAGCUUGCAUGUACAGAAAACCUCAAUGUUCGGCGGCUCAGCAUAUGUAUCAAUAAAAACAUCUUCAGGUAGGGCGCCUAAGUUACUGAACGAAAGGCAAAUAGAAGGAACAUUGAAGAAAAAGAAGGGGUAAUUCAAACGGCACAUUCAUCAUGCAGAAUGCUGGGAUAUAUAUGGUGUCGUGGUCCAUUUGGUAUAUGGUUUACUAAAUAUGGUGUCACGCAGAUUGCUCAAGUAUUUAGUAUGGGUAGAUUGGGUUCCAAACUAGUACCUGAAAGUCUUGCAGUUAUCACAUAGUAUCUGUUACAAGAUCGGCUGGCUCCUCACCCAGGUGGGGACCCACACAUGAGACUUGCUGCUCAAAAAUAAGAUCGUCGAAGAAUGUGAGGCUGGGUGUGACAUCCCCCGUGCCCCUCUGGAGAGUGCUGACCAUUUGAUCUUCCACUGUCGGUUUGCCGCCUCCUUCCGGUGGACCGUCGGCGUCCACGUCCCCGGCCGUGCCACUGUCUGCGAGCACUACCUGGUAGCCGUGUCUGCAGCCGUCGCCCCUGUUGCAGGUUGCAGCCAAUGCCUUUGUUCUCCUAUGCCGCUGACAUAUUUGGAAGCACCGGAACCUUGUCGUGUCCGCCUAAGAAAGGACUGCCAUGACAGACGCUAUCCUUUGGCGGCCAUGCCUUCCCUACGCUCACCGUCCGGGGGUGGACGGCUGGCUCUCGUGCCUUCGUGGCGAGACUCCUUAGUUGUUCUCUGUAACUGUUGCUGAUCGGUCUCAACUCUCUCCCCCUCUUUACCUCUGCUACAAAACUUGUGACAUUUCAAAAGAAAGUACAGUAACUGUUAGAAACUUCGAUGCUUGAGUUAGUUUCUUGUAUGGUGCACUGAGCCUACAGUUCACCAAAUGUUUCACUGAACCUAGUUUAUCUUGCACAGUCUAGUAAAGUUUGGGGCUGCCAUUGACUUGAACAUGGUAUGACGAAGACAAGGGAAAUAUGUAUCUUCUCUGCAGUAUGAGAUGCGCUAUAUUCUUCAACAUUCAGAAAUACAUAUUCUCUGUAGUAUGAGACGCGCUAUAUUCUUCAACAUUCUCUUAUUCUUCAACAUUCUCUAGGAGGGUGAGAAACUUUUACAAUCUUCUACAUCCUCUAGGUGGCGAGGACUUCGGAAGGAAUGAAAUUGAAAAGACGACGUCAUCAGGCAUUCAAGCCAUAAAGCCGCACAUAACGUAUUUGAUCACAUGAUUUCGCUGAAAAACAAGUACUUGUUUAGAGACACCAAACAAGAUUAAUGCAGAAGAUCUUGUUGAUCUGGAAUCAGGGCAGGAAGAUGUCACGGCUCAGCGAGAAGAACACAUUUGGGAUCGAGGUUGCAGAACCAGCACAUCACAUCUGAGCAGUCCAGCCUAUGUCCUGCAACUGCAAACUGGUGUCAUGCCACAGAUGACAACAUGGAGAGAAAAUGCAGCAUGAAACCUGGAAGCUCCCUUGUGCUUCCUCUUCUCCACUGCCUUGCAGCACCCGACCAAGUUUCAGUGUUACCGCAACAGGCAUGCAUUGCUUCGUUGCAAGUUACAGGUUUGUGCAUUGUUGAAGUUGAAGCAAAGGAAACAUUGAGCUGCUGCUACUCCAGCAAUAGGACUGAUUGAUGACAAACUUACAAAGGCGACGAGAGAGCAGUUAACUAGUAAACAGAAUGCCCAUUUAUUACAGAAGUAGGGCGAAUCGUGUAUGGUGAUAAGUGAUAACUGAACAUUGCUUGGUACUCCUGUAUCAAAAUGUAAGACGAAACCAAAAAAAACAUCUUACAUUUUGAUACAGAGGGAGUACUUUUGAUUGGCCAUAAGACGAGAGGGAUAAAAAACUCAAGAACUUGAGAUUCGAAACACAAGUAACAACAAUGUAACAGGGUUUUGAUUACAUCGAAACUAAUUCAACAAGCCGCUGGCAAACUUAUCUUAAAAGUUCCUAGGGUCAGCUUAUAUAGUGCUCAACCAUGAUAAUGGAUGUUUCACAUGGCGACCUCCCACACAGUCCUCGUACACCAGACAAGCAGCAAAGUGCUCCUUCAUAAUACAUGACAUGGAUAGAUAAACAGAGCAGCAUCAAAUCAUCAUUUCUCCUCUAAGUGGUGAUUACUUUCAGGAUAACAGCGGCGACGUGAAUAGGCAUAAGAAGCUUGAAAAACCAACUCAUGCACUUGUUCCCCUUCUUGAAAAACACAACGCGUGACCUACAGAAAGGAGGAAAAGUGAUUAUGAUCAUUUUGGGUUGAGAAAUCAUGCAACAACAAACUCUAGUUCCAUAGCUCAUAAAUUCAUGGUGUUCCUUCACUCGAUCAAGUGUAGCUAGAUUCUCUUGGUACAACAUUUUCGCAAGUUCCCGAUCUUCCUGUUGACACCAAUUCAGCGAUAACACAACGUUAGUUGCGAUGGAAAGAACAAGUGAAUGAGGAGGCAAACAUACUACUAGCGUUAUCUUAAAAAAAAAAAUCUUAUCAUGCCUAUAAAUUACACCAUGAAUGGAUAUGCUCUAGCAGGUCUGAUUUCAGAAAUUAUAUGCAAUGCUACAAGGUAAAUGGCUGAGAACAAAAGUUGCAGCUUCGCAUUAUAUGCAAAACAACUGAUGACUGUGAGAGUGCGAUUGAAAUUUGCAAUCAGAGAGGGUUGAUGCAUGCCAAUACAUAUUUUCUUGCCAAUUAAGGUAUAUUAUUAAUGCGGAAUUUUUGAGCGAUGGAUGAAGGAUCAAGGCCCAGCGAAGAUAAAAAUGGUUCGAGCACGACGGCCGGAAGGAAAUUUUGGAACAUACGAAGCUGACGAAAAUUAGGAUGGUAAGAAGUAAUUGUUCCUUUAUUAUUAGAUAAAGAUAAAGAUAAAGAUAAAGAUAAGCAUAAAGAUAAAGAUAUUAUUAGGCAUAGUUUGAUAUAGAUACCGAUAUAGAUUAUCUGGGCAGAAUUCCGGAAGAAUCGUGAAGGCCAUCCCCUCGAGGAACACAGCCGCGGCCGCCGCUCUUGCCUUUCCGGCUCCCGAACCCUAGCUAGAGUUCCGGCGAGCUCCCACGAGGGCCUCCAGGCACUGAUCCACGAUGCCACCAGGGGGUGGAGAAACAAGCAAGCAUGGCCGCACGGGGAAGGAGCAGAGCCACCCCCCGGCGAUCCGCCGCUGUGACGAGUCCCGUCCCGCGCCGCCGUUCCCCGCCGCGGCUUCUCAGGUCUGCUCCAAACCUCCUCAUCCAAUCAAUCUUUCAUUCCUGGGUCCAUGGAAGGGAAUCGGCCGGGAGCCUAAUUAAUCCUUCUUUCUUGGGUCCGUUCGUAGGAGCAGAAGAAGCAGAUGCAGCCGGCGGCGGCUGCGGCGAGCAUCUCGGAGGGCCCCCUUGUCGAGAUCCUGGCGCGGCUGCCCUACCGGUCGCUGUGCCGCUUCAAGUGCGUGUCCAAGCAGUGGCGUGAGCUCUGCUCCGACCCCAAAAUCGUCAAGAGGGCGUCACAGACCCUCUCUGGAUUCUUCCACAACGACCCGGCGGUCGGCAGCCUCCGCUUCAGCAAUCUGUCCGGCGGACGCCCGCUGAUCGACGCCUCGCUCCCUUUCCUGCGCGGGAGAUACCAAAGAAUCAAGCUCGAGCAAUGCUCCACCAGCCUCCUCCUCUGCAAAUGCUGGAAACUGGAAUCGGGACAAGACAAAUUCGAUUUCGUCGUGUGCAAUCCGAUGACCGAGCAGUGGACCGUGCUGCCUCCUAUAGAAUGGCUGGACCAAGACGGUGAAGACACCGAGGGUUCCGAUUUGAUUUAUCCCUUCCUGGUAUUCGACCCGGCCGUUCCGUCUCAUUUCGUGGUGUUUGCACCCCUCCUCGACUUGGUUGACGUUGUGGCAAUAUACUCAUGGGAAACUGGACAAUGGACUCCCAGCAGUGGGUGGGAAUACACAGAGUAUCCUGCCGUUACCAAGGAAUGUGUCUUCCUGAAUGGCAUGAUCCAUUUCUUGCAUUUGUUUGGCGAUGAACCUUUCAUAACUGUACAAGACAUUGAGGGGAGCUUUUCCUGCAAAUUGAUGGCCCCGAUGGAAUGCUAGGGGCCACACCUGGUUAUGGUUCGGUGGGGUGCUCUCAGGGACUCCUUCAUGUUUGGUAUAUGGAUCCCCAUGAUCACGAGCUCUCUGUGUGGGUGCUCAAAAAUUAUGUCAACGGAGAGUGGAUCCUAAAGCACACUGUUGACGUUCCAAAACUCUUUGAAGAAAUGGACUCCAAUGAAGAAAAGGAUCGUGACCAAGAGGAUGGCUCCUGUAAGUAUGAGAUGUUUGCAAUUCAUCCGGAAUACAACGUGAUUUUCCUUACUGACCGGAAGAUGGUGAGUCUGUCGUACGAUAUGGACAGCGGGAAAGUGCAUCCCAUGUGCACUUCUGGAGAUUUCCUUGGUGGUCUACCCUUUAUUCCCUGCUUUGCGGAUUUGGCUCUCUGAUGAUCACUAAUGCCUUUGAAAAAAUCGCUCUUCUAGUCCUCUGGCACUGGUUUGGAUGUGACCAUUUUGUGGCGUUGAAUAAUGUUGUUGGUCACCGUUAGAGAUUUUGUAAGCGACAACAGAUCCAGUGGGUAAUGCUUGCUUCGUUGUAUGAAUGACUUGGUCACCUAAAUAUAUUUGUGUUUUAUGUAGUACUGAUUAAUGUGGUCACUUGUUAUUUGUUCGCGUCGGCUGAAUGUGAGCUUCCAUUAUCACUGUUUAGAAUUAUUUCCAUUUCCUUCUCUUUAUUUCCAUUUCUGUCGUGUCGAGCAAAUAGAUCUUAAAUAUGACUUGUUGUGCAUCUAUGCUGAAUAUUGAUGAUGCCCUGUUUUUGUAACGGUAAUAGAAUUUUGCAAAUGGUCUCUUCUAUGCCGCAUAUACGAAGGGUAAGGA
rnacentral:lncRNA from 1 species